CGCGUUCCCAUCAUCAUUCGUCCCGUCAUCACUACCAAAAUUCACACAUCGUGCACGGGUUCUGUUCGCAAGAACUGAGUUAGAAAGCGAGGAAAAAAGUGUGUGAGUGUGAAGCGCAGCACACAGGACGUCAGUGGGACGGCGAGUGUGUGUGCUCGUGUGUGUGUGUGCGUGUGUGCGUGUUAUUGCAUGCUCUUCUUCGUGUGUCACUGACAUAUGCAGCCAGUGCCAACUGUGUGUUGGGAGGAAGAAGAGCACUAGCAGCAGCCACAGCAGCAGCAGUAGCAGCACCGCAAGCAAGCAAGCAAUUCUAAACAGAGAAAAGGUAGUCCAGCAGUGUGUGAAAUCAACGUGUUUCGCAUUAGCAGUGCGUUUGUACAGUGUGUGUGCCCCCGGUGUAGAGAAGAACAGCGAAGUAUUUGUUGCCGCGUAGUGUGUGUGUGUGUGUGCCCGUGUAGCUGUGUAGCACAGCCAUUCUAGUUGGUUCAAAUCGGUGUGCAGUUUUCGCAGAUUGUGUCUCGCGAGCGCGUGCUGUGUCCCGUUGCACUCCACCCCGCGGACAAGGGACCGCCGAUGAAGCAAUCAAACGGCCACGGUGCGGCGCUUUAAAAUCGACGACGAUUUGUCAUCGUGUCCUUCCCUCCUCUCACUCUCGUAAAUGAGAACACCACCCAGCAGGCGGCAGUGAGCAGCAGCAAGCGCAGUUGUGACAGCGAUUUGAGUAGCCAUAGACGGGCCGAACGAACGGCCGGCGGGCGCUGGACCAAGAUGUCGACGCUACACUUCGUCGUCCAUCCGCUGCCAGGCACAGAGGAUCAACUAAAUGACAGAAUACGAGAUGUGGCGGAUAAAAUCAACAAAUAUGGCGUACAGACACUACCCGGGCUGCAGUCGCUGAAGGUCCCAGUGAAGCAGAUCGUUAUCGGGCCGGCACACCUCGGCAUCCUGCUCGAGGAUGGGCGCGCCUUCCGAGUGGCCUUUUCCAUCAUACCCGAGCGGUUGGAUCUCAGCAAGCAGGACGCCUCGAAGGCCGGCGGAACCGGCGGCGGUGGCGGAGGUGGUGGUGGAGGUGGCGGCGGAGGAGGUGGAGGCGGCGGCGGAGGUGCCGGUGGUGGUGGCGGUGGUAGCGGCGGUGGCGGCGGCAACCAAACAUCCAAUCAGUCUAACAACAACUCCAAAAGCACGCCCACCUCGCGGCAGUGCCGGUCGCGCGCGCGCAUCAUGCGCACGAGCAGCUCGGUUCGGGCCGGCAGUGGCUCGCAAGCGUCCGGCUCGCGCAGCACCGGCGUCAUAAUGGGUGGCGGAUCGUCCGGCAGCCGGUCGAUCGUGUCCGUGCCGGCACCGUUCGUGCCGGAGGAGCUCGUUGCUCAGGCGCAGGUGGUGCUGCAGGGCAAGAGUCGAAAUCUGAUCAUCCGCGAGCUGCAGCGCACCAAUCUGGACGUGAAUCUGGCGGUGAACAAUCUGCUUUCGCGCGACGACGAGGGCGGCGACGACACGGAGGAGGGCAGCGAUAACUAUGUGGCCGAGGAUUUGAUCUCCCUGCUGGACGGUGGCUUCCAUCCGGAUAACAGCGUCAUCAUCGAUGCGGAAGCGAUGUUCACCGACGAUGUGUUUGGAUUCUCCAACAUUCGAAAUUUGAUGUUAUACAGCCGUGCCCGCAGUGAACGCAAUCAAAACAAUUCAUCGUCCGCCGGCGGCAGUGGUGGAUCGGGCGGAGCGGCCGGAUCGGCCGGUAACAGCAACGACGGCACCCCGUCCGGCAGUCGCUCGGGCGGCGGUACCCAGUCCGGGCCGGGCAGUGGAGCCGGUUCGUCGGCCGUUAUUGCGGGCGGUGGCCAGUCCGGUUCGUCCGGCGGUGGCGGCGCCGGCGGCGGUCCCUCGGGAGUGUCCGGCGGCUCCGGGCUGAGCAGUGCCGAGCGGGAAGGGUUUGGCCGCUGGCGCGACCGGCAGUACUUUGGGCCGCGCCGUUGGUUCCAGGGCGGAAGAGAGGACGUGUGGGAAAAGGAAGCGGGCGAUUCCAAAAAGAAGGACUACUCGUCCGGCUACCCGUUGUGGGUGUCGGAUGAGAUGGAACCGUGGCCGGAGAAGGAGCACCCGGUGCGCUUUACCGAGAUUGCUUCCCUUUACUCCGAGUUCAUCGGUGUGACGGCGCGGGGCGAGCUGCACCAGUGGCGGUGGGCCGAUGCCGAACCGUACCGCAGCAGUGACGCCGCGAGCGUGCACCACCCGAAGACGAUACCGCUGAACUUGCUGUACGAAAAGGUGACGCACAUAUCGGCCACGCUGAUCCGGUGCUCGGUGGCGACCGAGAGCGGCCGCAUCGCGACCUGGAUGGACGAGCUGCUCGGGUACGCGGGCAACAAGCUGGAGCACGUGGCCACCAACUAUCCCGAGUUCGCGCUCGACCGAAUAGUGUCGCUGCACACCUGCACCCUGUACACGGUGGCGCGCACCGAGAGCGGCGAGCUGUUCUGGUGGGGCGUGCUGCCCUUCGGCCAGCGCAAGCGCCUGUGGGACAAGUACCAGGCGAAGGCGAAGAAGCCGAUCCGGCCGAGCGUGAACGCGCCGGAGGUGACCGUGGGCGCGCAGGUGUGCAUGAAAAGCUGCCCGAUGUACCAGCACGGUGCGAUCGGGUUCACCAUCUCGAACGGUGUGCCGAAGGUGGGCCAGCUGAUGAACGCGGCCUGGGAUUUGACCAAGGUGUGCCGGUUCAAGCUGCUCUCGAUGUCGACGCUAUCGCAACAGCUCGCCGCCAGUACGCAGGGCGGAAGCACGGGCAGUGGUUCCGGCGGUGGUGGUGGUGGUGGUGCCGGUGUUGGCGGCGGCCUCGGUUCAAGCUCCUCGCUGGGCAGCUGUGGCAUUGCCGGCUCGUUGGGCUCCGGUACGAAUGCGGGUGGAACUGGAUCGCAGAAUGCGUCCGCCGGUGUGGCCGGAGGAAUAGGUGGACUGUUCGAAAAGGACUCCAAGGGUGGAAGUGGUUCUGGUGGGGCGAGUGGUAGCUCCGCCGGGUCCGCCGGCGUUUCGUCCUCGAAACAGGGGGCCGGCAACAAUAAGGAGUCGGCCGAUCGAAUCGACAUGCCACCGCCACCGUCGCCGGCUUCUAGCACGUGCAGCGACACCGGGAGCGUCACCAAUUCCCACAAACGUCCCAAGCGCAUGACACUGAAGGAAGAGCCCGAUUCGAAGAAGGACGAAGAGCAAUGGUUGCUGAAGGACGUUAUUUUCGUCGAAGACGUACGCUCCGUUCCGAUUGGCCGCGUGCUGAAGGUGGACGGUGACUAUGCGGCGGUAAAGUUUCCGCCCCCGCCCGGCGCGUCGACCAGCAACAGCAGCGGCAGCAAUAGCAAGGACAAGUUUGACGACAUCGAGGCGUGGCAGGACUGUCGCCUGCUGCGCAAGGACGACCUGCAGGUGAUCAAAUCGGCCGCGACACCGCGCGUCCCGGACUGCUUUCAGAAGAUACCGCGCCGCAUCGUGCUCAAUCCGAGCGCCGCAGCGUCGAGCGGCGGCAGCGAUGCGGCAGCCGGCGGGGGCGGCGGCACCUCCCAGCUGCUUACGAUCGCGGUCGAUCCGAAGGGCAUCCACGGCAUCAUGAAGACGGCCAACAACCGGCUGCACUACUCGCUGUUCAACCUGAACACGGGCCGGCAGGAGCAGGACAGCGCGUUCCCCACGGACAUUGGCUCGUUUCUCGGCGCCUCGAUGCAGGACGUGUCGCUGACCUGUGCCGGCGACAGCUCGGACAGCGUGCUGCUGCUGCGCGACGGCAACAACACGAUCUACCCGAUGGCGAAGGAUUGCAUGGACGCGAUACGGGACCCGAGCUGGCUGGACCUGCCGCCGAUCAAGUGCAUUGCGGCCGCCUCGCUAACGCUUCCCUCCGUGGGCGUCAAUUUGAAGUCGCAGGUGGCGCUGGUGGUGCUCGCACCGGAGCAGCAGCUGCUCAUGGCGAAGAUACUGCGCUGCGACAUCGAGGGCGUCCGGCAGCUGCUCGCGCACAUUGCGGCCGACGGGCCGGAACAGAUGCGCGGCACGCUCGCUGCUAUACUGGCUGAGCACACGGACGGCAAUCGCAACAUUAUCCACGCCUGCAUCAGCAUGUGCUCGCCGACGUCGAACCGGGAGCCCGAAUUUGCCGCCAGCGGCUCGAACGGCAACGGCGGCGGGGGAUCGUCGAACGGUGGAGGCUCCGCGGCCGGCGGCAACAACAGCGGGCUGGAGUCGAUCAACGUCAUAACCAAUACGAUGAUUGGCAAUCGGCCGGUUAGCAUAAGGGAAAUUAUGCGUCGCAACGUCAGCAACCGGGAGCUGGAAAGCAGCGCCAGUGGUGGUAGUGGUGGCGGCGCCGGUGCGAUCGUGUCGAACAACGUGCAAGGUGCGGGGUUGGCUGUGCCCGCUGGCGGUGGCGACGAUCAGCAGCAGGUGAUCGGUGGAAACUCGAUGCCGGUCGUUUACUGGCCGCCGGAGUACGACCCAGCCAGCGGAGACGAGGACAGUCUCGGCGGGCUGAACAACGCGAUGGGCAGCCAGCAGCAGCAGACAGGAGGAGCCGCUGGUGGCAGCCAGCAGGCGGCCGCACUCUACACCGCGCAGAAAUCGCUAGCCGCCAUACCGGAAGCGUACGUGUCGGACGCGAACGAGCGGCGCCAGAAUGCGCAGCUCGUGCUGCAGCUGCUGUGCGAGAGCCCGGUGCUGCAGCCGCACCUGCGCGGCCUGCUCAGCGCCAAGGAUGCCCAGGGCCAGACGCCGUUCAUGCUGGCGGUAACGUGCCGGGCGUACCAGGCGGGCCUGACCGUGUUCAAGGCGGUGCAGAAGAUAGCCAACGGCGACGAUGCGGUGCGCGACUCGAUGAUAUUCCCGCCCGGCUCCUCGCCGGACCAGUCGCCGCUCGGGAUACUGUGCUGCAACGAUACGUGCUCGUUCACCUGGACCGGUGCGGACCACAUCAAUCAGGACAUCUUCGAGUGUCGCACCUGCGGCCUGACCGGGUCGCUCUGCUGCUGCACCGAGUGCGCCAAGGUAUGCCACAAGGGUCACGACUGCAAGCUGAAGCGAACGUCGCCGACCGCGUACUGCGACUGCUGGGAAAAGUGCAAGUGCAAGGCACUGAUCGCGGGCAACCAGGCGAAGCGGCACGAUCUGCUGUGCAAGAUGGCGACCGAGACGGAUCUGGUGACGCGGUUCAAUUCGCGCGGCGAGUCAAUCCUGCUGUUUCUCAUCCAGACCGUCGGCCGCCAGAUGGUGGAGCAGCGCCAGUACCGGGCGACGUCGCGCGUCCGCUCGACUUCGUCGGGCAAUGCGCGCAAAACGCCCAACCUCGAGCCGGACAACGAGAUGCCGGAGCACAAUCUGGAGCCGCCGCGGUUCGCCCGCAAAGCGCUGGACCGGCUGCUCAACGACUGGCCGGCGGUGCGGGCCAUGAUCAUGACGGGCGCGGAAAACGAGAAACCAAUCGUACCGAACGCGAACCAGCAACCGUUCUACGACGACGACAACCAGCAGGUGUAUCUGCAGUCGCAGAGCGGCACCUCGCUGCUGGACAAGUUCACGCACAGCCUGAUCGUGCGGUGCAGCAGCGAUCCGCUGGAGAAGCUGCUGAUGACUCUGGUGCACGAGCUGCAGAACGAGUCCAUCCCGGGGCGGGCCGAGGAGGCCCAGAAGGUGGCACGCCGGUUCGUACGGUCGGUGGCGCGCGUGUACGUCAUCUUCAGCAUCGAACGGUUCCAGAACCCGGAGAAGCAACGCAAUUCGACCACCCAGACCAAGCAUCUGCAGGCGUACAGGCGCGUGUUUACGGCGCUGUUCAAGUUUGCCAUCGAGGAGCUGGUAGAGAUAGCGGACGCGCUCAUAACGCCCGUGCGGCUCGGUGUGGUGAAGCCCAUCGCGCCGUUCAAUCUGUCCUCUAACAAUAUUGACAGCACCGAUGAGCUGUUCUCGGUGGAACCGUUGGCACCGCCAACAAAUCGCGCCAAUGCGGGCGGAAUUGCACAAAUUGCCAACACGACCGCUAGUGUGCACCUGGGCGUCGAUCCGCUCGAUAGCGAACGCUCGUCGUCCGGGUUCAUUUCGCGCAUCAACAUUCGGCUGGGCGACAUCGAGGAUAAUAACGAUGCGGACGCACUGGUGCAGGACGAUGGGGAAACGUCCGAGCAGGAAGACAUGGCCGAGCGGGAGCAACCGCCACCAAGGCGCUCCUCCUCGCUGCGUCCGGUAGCGAGUGCCGCUUCGAUGAACGCGGAGGACGAGUCGCAGGAUUUGCUGCGAAGCGAGGAAAACGCCCAGGGCGAGAGCGACAACGAGUUCAACUUCCACGAGCCCGAAACCGAUUCCGAUUCGGACGACAACCAGAGCACGCAGGACGCGCAGCGGAGCGUUCAAACCGGCGCAACGGCCGGCUCGGAUACAGGGCUUAACUCACUGCUGUUCGACAACGAAGACGAUUCCGGCGACUCGACCCAGCCGGACGACGAAGGUUCGGAGGACGGUGAAAGCGACGACCAGUCGACGGUGGACUUCAACCUGAACGACGAUCAGCUCGAGCGGCGCCAAACGCCGGGCGGCAACCAGCGCAACAAUCUCGCUCCACAGUCAAUGCAGUGGGCCAUACGGAGCCGCGAAACGACUGCCCCGGAGCGAGUGCGCCUGACCACCGGCAGCUCAAACAUGGUGUUCAUCGAUCCGAGCUCGCUGCGUCGGUCGACGGCGGCCGUCACGACCGCGCAGCAGCAGGAAUCGCCCACCAUGACCACGACGGCUAGCGCCCUGGCUCGUGCGUUCGGUAUCAUACUGCGCCAAAUUUCCGACCUGAUCGGCAUGCUGCCGACCAGCAUUACCGGCUCGGCGUCCGUACUGGACGUAACUCACCAGGACGCGGUGCAGCUACAGAUGUAUGUUGAGAAGCGGUUGAAGCUGACGUGGGAGUGGAUACUGACCGUGAUGGAAGCAACCGAGGCACAGUUGCGCUUCGGUGCGUCGUUGACUGAUUCCACCGACCCCUCGCAUCCGCUGCAUCCGCUCAACAUUCCGACCUCGUCGAGCACUAGUGAUGCAGCUCCUUCCGCUCUGAUUGGUGUCACCGCAGGCAGAAGCAGAGCCACAAUUAGCACGUUAGGCACAGCGACCACAGCGCGCAGCCUAGGAUUUGCUGAUAAUGAUCGCAGCGCGCGAGAAGGUGGUUCCUCGCUGACGGCAGAUUCGGAAGCUAGCCGACGCGACUUCCUCACCUACUGCCUUUCGCUGAUGCGUGCGCACAACUCGGAGCAUCGCGACUCCCUUCCCGUGCUGGACGUGACCGCCCUGCGGCACGUGGCGUACGUGCUCGAUGCGAUCCUGUUCUACAUGCGCGCCACAAACGACUGCGACCUGGACCGCACCACCACCGGCUCGAACGUGUGGGACGAUCAGGACGAGAACGAGAACGAAGAGGCGGAAGAGGACAUUACCAACUCGAUCGUGAUGGACAGCGACUCGGUCGACGAGGACGUACUGAGCCGUCCGUCACUCGGCCGCCGGCACUCGUUCUUCCAGCGGUCGGAUUCAACGCUCUGUCUCGGCUGCCCAGCACCGGAUCCGUUCAACACGCCGCUUACCGAAGCACUGCCUUUAGCGGACCAGCCGCACCGUCUGCAGCCGACCGCCAAGCGCGAGGAUCUGUUCGGCAUGCCCAAGUGGCCGAUUACGCUGGCACCUGGCGGCAGUGGCACACCGAAUCCGAACACCGCUUGCUCGUCGGAGGGGGGUGCUUGUUCUGCGACCAACCUGGAGCUGCCCCCCGUUCGGUUGAGCCUGUCGUCCUCGAUUCGGCAUGAAAUGAGCAGCAGUAGCAGCAGCGGUAGUGGUGCAGCUGCGGCGUCGGCGGCAGCCACAGGAAUCGUGAUCGAUCCAACGGAAGCACUGUAUUCUGACGCGCAGCAGCAGCAGAACCAGCCAUCAACAACCGGGCAGGAAAGCAGCGUAGCGUUCAUAAGCGGUGGCAUCACACAAUCCUCCUCACCACCGAGCACGGACUCUCGUGUAAGGGUAGAAAUUUCUCUUCCCGUAGGAAUCUUCCAAGCUGCUGCGAGCGGAUCGGCGACGGUUGGCAAUGGAUCUUCCACCAAGCAGCAGCAGGAUAUGGACGCUAGUGGCAUCGGUGGAGUGGCGGCCGGAGCGAACAGUGGCGCAGCAGCAGCAGCGAAAAGCGGCGGCGGUGAAACCCAUUCACCGAAGCCGCCUCCACCGCCGCCCCCACCAAGCGGCGGCAGCAGCUCCGGGGCGGGCGGUAGUGCUACCGCCUCGUCCUCCGCCGCCUCCUUCUCCGAGGUCUACUACAAAAAGAGCCGGCUGUUCUAUCUGAAGAGCAACAACAAGUACAGCGAAGAGUCCGACGUCGAUGAAGUGAGUAUCAGCUCGGAUGAGCCGCAGGACUUGUCGCAAUCGUCGAUUAAAAUCGAUGUCGAUACGGAUCAGGAUCACGAUGAGCUGUCGGAGUCGGAUUCGGAGGAUUCGCGCCAGCACUCGUCGACGUCGACGGCCAAGCGCCAGAAGCUGGACGACGGCGGCAGCGAUGUGGGCGGUGGCGCCGAUGAAGCAAAUGCUGCACUAUCGAUGUCGCUACAGCAGCAGCAGGGAAGCGAGCAGCAUCAGCAGCAGCAGACCCCUCAGCAGCAGCAGCAAGAAUCCGCGUCUGCGAUUCGGCCCCCAAUAAUAGUCACGCGUAGAAAGGUGGCAACGACGGCCGCUGGCGGAUCGGCAUCACUGGAUGGGUCCUCGGUUGUUCUAGGACAAGGAUCCGGCGCUGCGGAUGUAGCGAUGCCAGGGGAGCAGCAAAUCGUAGCGGUUGCUGCGUCUUCCUCCUCCUCCUCAGGACCGUCUGUUUCGUUCGCCAAUCCGCUGGUAACGAUCGGCAAUGCACCUGCUGGAACGUCUCCCGGUAAAAGCGUUAUUGUGCGAGCGGGACCAUCAUCCACGGUGUUUGCUGCGGGCACUAUCGGUAGCAGCGGCAGCAGCAGCAACUCGGUCGACCUGAUACAAUCGGCCGAAGCGAUGGAUAUACAGGAGAUAUCCGCCCACGUGACGGUCGAAACGACGCCGAACGUGUUGCCGGCCGCACUGCAGCCGGAGAUGCCGCCGCGCGGCAUCUAUCUGCGCGGUUCGUCCGCCAUGUCCUCCUCGAUCCUGUCCGACAUACUGCUGGGCCGGUGGCGCCUGUCGUUGAUUUUGUUUGCGCGCGUCUUCCUCGAGGACGUCGGCGUUGAGCCGGGCAGCGUAAUCUACGAGCUGAACGGGUUCCCCGUGAAGGAGACCAAAUUUCGGCGCUACAUGGAGAAGCUGCGCUGCACGACGCAGAAAGACCUGACGCUGCUGAAGAUGGAGCGCAACCGGGCGGCCCUGCUCACGCAGACGUUCAAGGAGCUGAACGGGCUGUACAACAACCGGCGCGUCCAGCAGCCGCUCGUGUUCAACCGGGUGAAGGUAACGUUCAAGGACGAGCCGGGCGAGGGUUCCGGCGUGGCGCGCAGCUUCUACACCGCCAUCGCCGAGGCACUGCUUGCGAACGAAAAGCUACCCCCGCUCGAUGCGGCCCAAACGCCGAGCAAGUACGGGGCCGGUCCGUUCAACAGCAUGCUGCGGCACCGUGGCAGUGGUGGUGGCGGCGGUAGUGCCGGCGGCAGUGCUGGCUCGGGCUCCUCAAACGCCGGUGCAGGUGUUGGGGGAGUGGUCGGUGGCAGUAGCAGCAUACAGCAGGGAAGUGGCGCCGGCGGAAGCAGCAGCUCGCGCCGUGGCCUUUCCAGCAAGCAGCCGCUGUGGCGCCCGAACCGUGAAUCUCGUAAAACGCUCAACUACGACGCCCGCCCGUUCCGGCCGGGCAGUGAACAGGGUGCGGCCGGUGGCGGCGGUGGUUCAUCGGGAGCUGGCAGCGGUGGUAGUGGUGGUGGGGCCAGCCCUCCCACCCUGCUGAACGUGGGCGACAUAUUUUCGGUCCAGCAGCAGCAGCUGGGCGAGCGGCUCUAUCCAAAGGUACAACAGCAGCAUCCGAACAAUGCGGCCAAGAUUACGGGCAUGCUGCUGGAGCUGCCACCAACGCAGGUGCUGCAUCUGCUCGCCUCGGACGAGAAUCUGCGCCAACGCAUCGGGGAAGCGGUCGAGAUAAUCGUGCAGCGCCAGCGGCUGGAAAUGGACAACCUUUCCAACGGUGGUGCCAGCGGUCAGUCGGCAUCGUCGGCGGCGGCGGCGGCGGCAGCAGGCACUGGCGGAGCGUCAGCAGCAGCGCAAGGAGUUUCGUCCUCGCUCGGUGGGUCCGUUUCGCUGACGGGCAGCGGCAGUAGUGCCAGUGGAUCAUCCGGUGCCGCCGGUACCACGGGUGAUCAAGGUGGUGUAACGGGCAGUGGCGUUACCGGUAGCAGCAGCAGCAGUGGCGGCGGCGGCGGCUACGGCAGCAUGGCAGGACAAGGUGGUGGCAGCACGCCGGCGCUUGCGAAAAAGUGUACCCCGGUGUUGCUGCUGGAGGAUUGCCAGAUGGACGCGCCGCUGUUCUACACGCCCGGCAAGCGCGGCUUCUACAGUCCCCGGCAGGGCUAUCCUUCCAGCGAACGGAUGAAUGCGUUCCGCAAUGUGGGCAGAUUGAUUGGGCUGUGCUUGCUGCAGAACGAACUAUUUCCGCUGUUCCUGCAACGGCACGUACUGAAGUUCAUUCUCGGCCGGCAGAUUCGCUUCCACGAUCUGGCCUUCUUCGAUCCGGUGGUGUACGAGUCGCUGCGCCAGCUGAUCAAAGAUUCGCAAACCAAAACAGGCAUCAGCAUACUGCAGAGCCUUGAAAUCAACUUUGUGAUUGACCUCAUGGUGGAGGAAGGUUCGGGAACGGUCGAACUGGUACCGGGCGGACGCGAUAUUCAGGUGAACGAAAACAAUGUGUACGACUAUGUGCGCAAGUACGCGGAGUAUCGGAUGAUAAAGACGCAAGAAAAGGCUUUGGAAGCUAUUCGUUCCGGCGUGUUUGACGUGCUGCCCGAUACUGCGCUCGAUCAGCUGACUGCCGAAGAUUUGCGACUGCUGCUGAACGGUGUCGGCGACAUACACGUGGCGACCCUCAUCUCCUACACCGCGUUCAACGAUGAAUCGAACGAGCCGAGUGAGAAGCUCACCAAAUUCAAGCGCUGGCUCUGGAACGUGGUCGAAAAGAUGAGCAAUCUGGAGCGACAGGAUUUGGUGUAUUUCUGGACCGGUUCACCGGCGCUGCCCGCCUCGGAGGAAGGAUUCCAGCCGAUGCCAUCGGUGACCAUCCGCCCGGCGGACGAUUCGCACCUGCCGACGGCCAACACCUGCAUCUCCCGGCUGUAUAUACCGCUCUACUCCAGCAAAGCGGUCCUGCGGCACAAGCUCCUGCUAGCGAUCAAGACAAAGAACUUUGGAUUUGUGUAAGAAGAAGCGUGUCGAUUAGUAGAAGAUAGGGGGGGAGCAUGUAAGUAACAAUAAUGAGAGGUGCAGACAGGCAACACAAAACAAGCAAAUCCUUGGUCGUGUAGAGCGCGAGAGAGCGAGAUAAAAAAUACGCUGACAAAAAAGUAGUACACACAACACACACACUAUCAUCGCAGUUAAAACAAAAGUGGAAGAAAGCGCGUUCCUUACAUUUAUGAUGCAUGCAUGAUGCCUUUGAACACAUACACACACACACCUCUCUCUCUCUGUCUUGGAACCGGAUAAGCUCUCGGAGGGAGUGGAGCGCAAUGAUGAUUGACAGAUCGGGGACGGCACCUUGUGCCCGGUAGUUCUUUCGGUGGUUAUUAACUAGUGUGCUAGUUUCCUUAUUUUUCUGAUAUACACACAAACAAGUUUGCUUAUCGGUUUAGAAUUGUUUUCCGUUUUUUUGUGUUAUUCUUUUCUGAAAGUUACAUCUGCAAAUGUAGUAGUAGUAGUGGUAGAAGUAGUGUGUAGUAGUAUGUAAUAGCAGCAACAGCAGCAGCAGCAGCAGCAGGCAGUAGUUGUAAGGACAAUAUGAAAGGGGAGAGAGAAAACACAACGAUUGCUCAUCCAGGUGUAAAGGCUCCCGGCGGCAAACUACCACCAACAACAAACCUUUGGAAACGCAAAACAAAAUUUAGGACAAAGUAGGCUUAAUUUUUUUGCGUAUUAUUUAGGGUGAUACUAGCUUAACGCAGAGAGUGUGUGUAUGUAAGGAGUGUUUGUCCAAUGAGAAUGGCUUGAAAAAACACACACACACACAAAGUCCACAGUAGCCGCCACGCAAACACCACCACCACGGUUAUGAUUUCCCCCUUUGUGCUGUUUUAAUCGUUACGCAAACGUCGGUUUUAGGUGUAAGCGGGGGGCGGCCAGUACGUGAUUGAAUGAAUUUAAUAUUGGAAUUGGUCAUACGACAGAGUGGACAGAGCGCCGCAAACACUACUGUGUGUGUGUUAUUAGCACACGUGAGCAGAACGACUUGUUUGGUGGUACUGGUAGAGGAAAUGUGGAGUGUUCUUACGCUUAAAGGCCCUUUCUUGGUGUACCUUUGCCUCUCAAUUCGCCGUGACACGUGACACAAGCGGAACGCUGCAACCAAGGUGUGAUGUGUUGUGUACUUUAUUUCAUCCAUCUACUCCCAAAUAAGUGAAAUGUGACAUCGAGAGGACAGGGAAGUAGUUAGGAUACCCACAGCUAAGAUACAACCAUUAGCAGCAGAGAGACAUGCAGGGAGAGAGCGCGCGAGAAAAAGCAAAGGAGGAUUAGGGAUGAUAUGAUGCCUAUCCAAUUUAGGGAACCAGUACAGUGCAGUAGUGUGCGUACGCGUUCCCUCGGUAACACAGACACAAACAAACAAACAAAAGCAUGCAAAUAUUAUAACAAAUUCGCUAUCUUUGAAUAUAGACCCUAUAUUUAUAAUCGUAUAUAAUAUAGACAACAGCGCUCGCGUGUGUGUAAGAGGAAGGAAGGUUGAAGAAGGGGAGGAGGGAGAUAGUGUGUCAUCGUGCGGCUGGUUGGAAGAAGCACUAUACCCGAGCACAAGAUGAACGAGAAAUCGCAAUAAAUAAUAGGUUGAAUCUAUUCGAUGGUACGGAAAAAGGCGUGUUGUAUUCCGAAUUUCACAGUGGACGACAAUAUGCAAAGCAUCAAAAAGUAAGUGGUGGUGCUGGUGGUGCUGUAAGCGCCAGCAGCAGCAGCAGCAGCAGCAGUACGCUCGUCUCUCGUCUCGCGUACGCGUGAUACAAUAGUAGUAACCGCUGUAAGGGAGGGAGGGAGGGGGGGUCCUGAACUGAAACGUGUCCCCCCCCUACCUGCAGAUAGCAAAGCAAGCGCUCCCGGGUUUAAGUAUGAUCAUAGUAGACACAGCAAAUUUACAGUUUUGUGUGUGUGAUCAGUGUGGUGUGUGUGCGUCGUUUAAAAGAAGAAGAUACAGUGGGAAACCUCUAUUUUUUUCUGGAAACUAACACGAAUGAACAAGUUUACCCGGAUUAACCGCGAAUUGAACGAUCAUCGAACGGAUUAUCAAGCGGUUGCUCUGGCAACACUGAAACGAUGACAGCCACCGAAAAGAAACAGCGCUAGCGCGCUGUGUUGAUGCGAGCAAUAAAAAGUACACAAUUGCUUAGUGCAUCUGAAAUUACUGAAAAGUGAACCCGGCCUUGGCAAAUACUGUUCACCGAUGGACACGUACGGGAAGGAUUAUCAAUGGAUCGUUAAUACGCCGCACGGCGAACCGUCGGCACCAUCCAACUACUGGAAGGGAGCGGAAACUGCGGCAGUUACAGCGCCUGGUUACAGCUCAUAUCCGUACCUCUUCGGGGCCAAUUCCUUGGACUGGAACAGUGCCUUCCCGUUCUCCGUCGUCUACCCCGGUGGAGCUUCACCUUACCAGGGCAACGGGCUGUGGAAUGAUACGGGCAUAGAACAACCGCAAGAACAACCGUACCGACCGUUCGGGUUCUACAUGCCAAUACCAUCGCCGUCAUCAUCACUAUCAUCGCCCACAUCAACGUCGUCAACGUUGUCGUCGUCGUCGUCAUCCGUUCCAGCGCAGAUCUCAUCACAAAUAUCGGCACCGACGGUCCCAUCUUCAAUACAAUCGGACGCUGCUCCAUAUUACAAUCCGCUGCCCUCGUAUGAUUGCAAUAACAAUACAACGAAAAGAACAUACCUCCAAAUGCAGGACGGGCCGUUGCAUGCAACUGCCUAUACCGGAGCGGUGGUUCAAUCCGUUCCGAUCGACCAGAAGGCAACACUAACAGUGACGGUGUUAGAACAUCCACACAGCAAGCGCACAGCAUCACAUCCCGACUGUUCGGAUGAUACAUUACUGUUGCAAACCCUUCUCGGUACAGCAGCAAGCGUAGAAAGCAAUGUUUGUCCCCAGUCUGGCAUACUCAAGCCGAUCAACUCCAACAACCAACCGUCCGAAUGGCACUGUGAGCUGUGCAACAAGCGGUUCGCACGGCGCAUCGGUCUCAACCAGCACAACAAGGUGCGGCACUCGGGCGAAAGGCCGUUCCGGUGCGACAAGUGCGGCAAGCGGUUUACGCACCUCGAGCUGCUCAGCCAGCACGCCCUGCAGCACGUGCGGCAGAACAAACCGCACAAAUGUGAGCACUGUCCGAAGCAAUUCUGCCAUCCGAUGGAUCUGCGGCGCCAUCAGUACCGUCACACGGGCGCGCUGCCGUACCUUUGCGCGAUCUGCCGGAAAGGGUUCACCAGGCGCGAUCAUUUGCAAGCGCACGAGCAAACGCACCGCAACAAGCGACACAAGCGAGCGCGGAGCCAUUCGGAGGAGGUGGUGGAGGAGCAGCAGCUGCAACAGUUCGAUUUGUUGGUCGGUUGUGCCAAAGGACAAGAGGGAUCCAUCCUUGGAGAACUAUUAGUGUAACGGGGGAAAGGGAUGAUUCCUGCUGAAUCGAUCACAAAAUGCGCUUUUAGGAAGAUUCCGAUAUUUGAACACGCUUCAUAGAAACGGUUAUUCUUUUUUUGGGGGGGAGAGAACAAAAAAACAUAGAACAAUAUAAUUUUGACGUAAUGUCACUGGUUGACAUGAAAACGUGAUUUCGAUGUAACAGCAAUGCGUGAUGAUGAUCAUCCAUUAAUGAUCCUUGUGACAGCCACUUGUAGAGGAUCCCCUUUUUGUGGUGCGGAAAUGUUAACACAAACGCAGUAAAGCGAAGCAAAUGUUCUAUUGAGAUAAAACCAAAUUAUUUUUUUAUGGUGUGAAAUUAAAUGAUUAAAUUGUGAA